AAUGAUGAGCCUGAUUAAAGGGCUAUCGUGAUAGGAUAAAAUAUGUAGUCUAACUACCUUCAUUA
rnacentral:tRNA from 1 species